UGGUCUAAGUGCAUGGGGAAACCCACCCUCUCCAAUAACUAACUAACUAAGAUGACCACCACGACAGAUUGUGCCUACUUCAGGUACUGCAUGAACUUACUGAGCGAAGGCUCACAGCCUGCAAUGGAAAUUCAAGUUCCUCUGAUUGGCUCACACUUAUGCGAUUCGACUAAUUUCGAUACGUGUAUAUUGAUCAGGAGGUGACAACUGGGAUAGGGGAAAGGGAAGCACGGUAACUACUGCCUCUAUGUGUGUGGAAGCAGAUCUUGACCAAUCAGAGAGCUUAAACUAACCAAUCUGAAUACCCACAAUUACAUGCGGUUAUCGUGGUACAUUAUAUGCAAAUUGGUAAGUAUGAAUUUUGAUUUGUUGUGGCUGCGAAACGAAAGUAGACAUUGCAAACGAAAUUACAGCGCCAUGUUAAACAUAUUAUUUGUGUAUGUGAAUAUUAUGCUUACUACCACAAAUGGAAUUAGAAACAUAUAGAAUUCUUUCAAGCCUAACAUUUUUGAGGUUAUGGUGAACUGUCGUCUAAACGAUAUUUGUUUCAUGAUAUUUUCUGCAACUUUCGGUUCAUCCCAAAGAUUGUCUGUAGAAUGUUAAAGAGUUCUAAGAGUACCGUGAUGGUGUUAUAAUUUUUGUAUUGCUUCUUGCAGUAUAGACAUGAAAACGAAAACGUGCUGCUGCUGGGUGCUUGUCAUCCAGCAAGCAAGGCAUCAAAUUCUUCAGCUUUCCAAAGGAUCCAGCACGGGCUGCGGUAUGGGCAGGAAAGGUUGGAAUAACCAUCACUGUUGAUUCUGCUAGAAUGCUGCACAAUAAAUAUUUGUGCAGCAAACAUUUCCUGGAAAGUGAUUUCACUACACAUUGCAGCAAGCCACAACACUGUAUUGGCUUCAGUGGAGUGCUGUGGUGAAUACCUGGCAACAGCUGUUUGGUGAUCACCUUGUGAACACAUUUGAAGCUAUUCGUUUGUAGUCUGGUUUGAACAAUAAUCCAACUGUGGGACAGUUUGUAGAUGCCCUGAAGACUAACAUCAUCAGUGCACUUGCUAUCAGAGGUCUGUGUGGAACUAGCUGUGAGGAUGAUGGUGCUACUGUUGUGUGUAACCUACAGUCAUUGUUCAGGGCACCUGAUGCUUCUUCACCAAAUCCGUCCACAAGUCAUGGCAAGGAAACCCCUGAUGAAGUUACUGAGUUUCCAUGUUACUCAACAAGUACAGAAGGACAUGGUUGCUGCAGUACAUGCUGGUGACAUGGAAGUGUUCUCAGUAGCCUAUGUCAGUGGUUCCAUUGCCAGACAGGUGCUUUGUGGUGUCAGCUGUGAUGCAUGCAAGACAUGCGUGACAUCUGAAGUGCUGCUAUCAGCCAGUGUCUUCAUAUAUUUGUUCAGUUGGAAACAUGAGAAUGUUUCAGAUCAUGAGGUUUGUAAGACAAAGACAAAAACAACUCCGUACAGAGUGACUAUUUAAGUUUUACCACUUGAAAACUCAGCACCCUUACAUGU